CUGCUGCCUUCCGUAGGAGUCUGGUCCGUGUCUCAGUACCAGUGUGGGGGGCCUUCCUCUCAGAACCCCUACGCAUCGUCGGAACGGUGGUCCGUCACACCGCCGUCUUCCUAAUGCGCCGCAUGCCCAUCCCCGCCCGCCCAAAAGGGCUUUCCUCCCCCGGGGAUGCCCCCAGGGGAUGUACGCGGUAUCAGCCCCCCUUUCGGAGGGUUUGUACCCCUGGCGGGGGCAGGUUGCAUACGUGUUACUCACCCGUGCGCCGGUCGCCGGCGGGACGCGCAAGCGCCG
rnacentral:rRNA from 1 species